rnacentral:rRNA from 1 species
UACGUAGGGGGCAAGCGUUGUCCGGAUUUAUUGGGCGUAAAGAGCGUGUAGGCGGCCAGGUAGGUCCGUUGUGAAAACUCGAGGCUCAACCUCGAGAGGUCGGUGGAAACCGUCUGGCUAGAGUCCGGAAGAGGAGAGUGGAAUUCCCGGUGUAGCGGUGAAAUGCGCAGAUAUCGGGAAGAACACCCGUGGCGAAGGCGGCUCUCUGGGACGGUACUGACGCUGAGACGCGAAAGCGUGGGGAGCGAACAGG